GAUGAACGCUGGCAGCGUGCUUAACACAUGCAAGUCGAACGAUGAAGCCCAGCUUGCUGGGCGGAUUAGUGGCGAACGGGUGAGUAACACGUGAGUAACCUGCCCUUGACUCUGGGAUAAGCCCGGGAAACUGGGUCUAAUACCGGAUAGGAGCGCCUGUCGCAUGACGGGUGCUGGAAAGAUCUUUCGGUCAUGGAUGGACUCGCGGCCUAUCAGCUUGUUGGUGAGGUAACGGCUCACCAAGGCGACGACGGGUAGCCGGCCUGAGAGGGUGACCGGCCACACUGGGACUGAGACACGGCCCAGACCCCUACGGGAGGCAGCAGUGGGGAAUAUUGCACAAUGGGCGAAAGCCUGAUGCAGCGACGCCGCGUGAGGGAUGACGGCCUUCGGGUUGUAAACCUCUUUCAGCAGGGAAGAAGCGAAAGUGACGGUACCUGCAGAAGAAGCACCGGCUAACUACGU
rnacentral:rRNA from 1 species